rnacentral:lncRNA from 12 species
GUACCGUUUUACAUCUCCACCAGCAAAGCAUGAGGGUUCUUAUUUUUCUACAUUCUCACCAACACUUGUUAUUGUCUGUCUUUUUUAUUAUACUGGGCAUUAGGUAGUAUUUCAUUGUGGUUUUGAUUUGCAUUUCCCUGAUGACUAAUGAGGCUGAGCAUUUUUUUUUCAUGUGCUUAAUGGCUAAUGUAAGUUUUUAAUAUUGCGUCUGGAUGUUUCCUCCAAAAGGGACAGUUCUCUCCUCAGGGGGCCCCACAUGUCUACCCAGUGGUAUGACACUCAUCCAGGCUUUGAAACUCACUAGUUACUCAUUUCCACACUUCUGGGCUAGAGAGAACAGAUUCCCAAGAAAGAGGCAGAAGGCCAGAGAUUUAUGCCUCUGUCUCUCUUUUCUCCAUUUCCUGUCAGACACAGCUGGGUCUCUCCUGGAACGAAUUCCCACAGACAAACUCUUCACCAGACCAUCAACUCAGAAGGGCAAACGAGGAGCUUAUUGUGAAGAGUUUGGGCCAAACCACCCAGAGCUUCCUGUGCCAGGGGAGCUCCAUGGACCCACAAGGAAGAGGCUGACUGGAAGUUCACUUCAGAUUCUUCAUAACUGUGAGUUACUAACUGGAGAAACGUCUAUCCUGGUGGUAAAAGGCACUUGGGGUUUCCUCCAGAGCUUCGCAGAAUGGAAAGAGUUACUUAAAAAGCAAAUCAAAACAUGAUAAUGAUAGAAAACAGCUUCUGGACAUCUAAGUGUUCUUGUCCUUCCCACUGCUGGCCUUGAAAUCUCGGCAGCCAGGUUUGUGACUGUUGUGGAUCAUUUGCCAAUAAAUAAACCAGUCACGGUAC